GAUGAACGCUGGCGGCGUGCCUAAUACAUGCAAGUCGAGCGAACGGAUGAGAAGCUUGCUUCUCUGAUGUUAGCGGCGGACGGGUGAGUAACACGUGGAUAACCUACCUAUAAGGCUGGGAUAACUUCGGGAAACCGGAGCUAAUACCGGAUAAUAUUUUGAACCGCAUGGUUCAAAAGUGAAAGACGGUCUUGCUGUCACUUAUAGAUGGAUCCGCGCUGCAUUAGCUAGUUGGUAAGGUAACGGCUUACCAAGGCAACGAUGCAUAGCCGACCUGAGAGGGUGAUCGGCCACACUGGAACUGAGACACGGUCCAGACUCCUACGGGAGGCAGCAGUAGGGAAUCUUCCGCAAUGGGCGAAAGCCUGACGGAGCAACGCCGCGUGAGUGAUGAAGGUCUUCGGAUCGUAAAACUCCGUUAUUAGGGAAGAACAUAUGUGUAAGUAACUGUGCACAUCUUGACGGUACCUAAUCAGAAAGCCACGGCUAACUACGUG
rnacentral:rRNA from 1 species